UAAAAGUCUGAUGACUGUAAUUUUUUCAGUGCAAGGUGACAUUUCUUCAGCAAACAGGGAUUUUAUUUUGUAACCCUUCUUACUAAUUUUUUAGAAGGGAGAGCACUGUACCUCACAGGUGGCGCAGUGGUAGUGCUGCUGCUUUGCAGUAAGGAGACUGUGGAAGAUUGUGGGUUCGCUUCCCGGUUCCUCCCUGUGUGGAUAGCGCUUUGAGUACUGAGAAAAGAGCUAUAUAAAUGUAAUGAAUUAUUAUUAUUAUUAUUUAUCCUUUUUAUCUUAGUUUGACGUGUCUGUGACUUGCAAAUUACUUUAGGUAGUGUCCAAAUUGGGGUAUACAUAAUACUCUGAAAUAAUGAAUGUAUUCUAAAAAACUAUUGAGAUAACCAUGAGCGAGAAUUUUUGUAGUGAACCACAGAGUAAUUCUGAAAGUUUGAACUUUAUUCCAAAGCGUCCACUUUUAUGAGAAAACAGGAGUGUUCAGACCAAAACCAGACAGCUUGCACAAGACAAAUCCUUCAUGUGACAGUCUGAUGUAUUUAUCUGUGUGUCUCCACAGUGGCUGUGUGGCUGCAGUAGGGCAGCUGACUCGAGAACAAGGGGCUCAGGUUUAUGAGGCUGCAGAGAUCAGCAGGGCCUCCAGGAGGACUCAACAUAAAAACUGUUGGAGUUCAUCAUAAAAGGCCAUACAGCAGAUGACCACUUGCUGGUUGUUUUAUCUGAAAAGGUGUCACCCAAAUGGUUUAAAAAUGACGAAGAUCCUAAAGGUCACCGGGUAAUGACCUCUAUACAGUAGAAGAUGAGGAGCUGACAGAUGUCCUCCACAACUACCUGAUGAAGUGAUGUGAAGAGCUUAAAGCUUGAGGAACAGUUGAGAGGAUUUCUCUACCAGAGGUAGAAGGUCUGCUCAUUGAUGGACCAGCAGACGGUGAGUGGGACGUAAUGUGGUGUUGGGAGCAGACGGUCCUUUCUUUUUAUUUUCAGCACCAUUCUUUUGUUAAUCAGAAUAACAUUUUACUUGUAGUGAAUUUAGACAAGAAUAUAAACUAAAUACAUAUAAAUGUAGAUAUUUUUUUAAAGUGAAAUUUAAAAUACACAUUAAUACACUUUUAGCAUUGGUGAAAAUAAUUUUUUUUUUUUUUAAGGUGAGCGAAGAGUUUGACAAACUUUUACUUCAACUGUUGGAGUUUGAGGACAGACAACAUCACUGAGGCUUCUCAACUUAGGAUUCCAUCUCAACGCCUCCUCUGAUAAACGCGUCACUUGCUUUAUUUGUCUUUGGCCAUUUUUUAUUUCUGAGUGUUAAACUGACUGUGCAUAAUAGAGUUGUGUAGAUUUGAUUUAACUAUUGAUGUAAAUAAUAAAGGACACUUUGUUGAUUAA